ACUUGUUCAGAGAUUGAUCAAGCAAACCAGGAGUUUGAGUUGUAAGGCUGGACUGAAGCUGGAUGAAUAGAGCAUGUUAAGUCCCAGGGAGAGAGGCUGAUGAAAGAGCACACAAAAAGGGUCAGUGUCCACUGUAUGGCCCAGGCUAGUAUAAAAGUACCAAGAAGCACUGCAUGUGUAUCUCCUGACAAGAGUUUUGUGUGUAGAGCUACAGCAGUCUCCACUGUCACAGGAGAGAGAUGGAGAGAGAAGGAAUCUGAAUUUCUGGCAAGAAAAAGAAUCCCAAAACUUAGGAGCACUGCUGAAAACUGCUCAUGAAAAUUUUAAGAUCAAUUUUCAACAAGCAGUGGUAAUUUCUUUCAUAAAUACUGUUCUAUAUCCUUCAUAAAUAAAGCCAAACAAUGA